UAUGAUACUGAGGGCCUGAGGUUCCCCACUAUUGGAGGAAAAAUAUGAAGGUUCCUCUCCACCAGCUGUGCCUUGGCCAGAACGAUCGAGUAAGUACUAAGCUCAAAUACAUACAUCUGCUGCCUAAUCUCAAGAUGGAGGCCCCACUCAAACUUUCUUGCCUUUCUGUCUUCAUCCAUCAUGCUCUCAGAGGAAUACCGACCCAAUUCUAGGAACUUUCAGGUAUAUUCUGAUAUAAU
rnacentral:lncRNA from 1 species